rnacentral:lncRNA from 1 species
GCAGCAGGCGCCGCGGGGACUCGAACCCCGUCCGUCGGGAGUGCCGCCACCGGCGCCUUUUGCUUUUUUUUUUGGCCGUUUUGUCCUUUUUUUCCCUUUUUUUUUUUGGGGGCGGGCCGCAGGAGAAAAGCAAAACCUGAGACAACGGCGUUCUCUCAGGAAAAGAAAACCUGGCCCGGGGGGGGGGCGGGGAGAUGGAUUUUGGGGCAAUUUAAGGCGAUUUUGGGCCCCCCCGGGCAUCGCAGCGGGGUCCCCCCCCCCUCGGCCCCGACCCGCUUUUUGCUGCGUUUUCACCCGAUUUGUGGAUUUAUAAAUCGAGGGGGGGGGGGCGGGCGUGAAGCCGGGGGGGGGCCCCGCAACCCCAUUUUUGUGGGGUUUUUGACAGUGGGGAGGCAAAAACCCCACGGUUUUGGGUCUUUUUGGGCGAUUUCGUGGGUUUUGGUUCGAUUUUGGGGGGGGCGUUUGAGCUCCAAUGUCGUUUUGGGGUGAAUCUGUGAGGUUUUGGGAGAAGGGGGGGGGUCAAGAAAAGCGUAAGUCACCUGCUGGCUCCGCCGCGGGUCCGGCCGCGUCGCGCCGCUCCCUGGAAGGCAAUCGCGACACCCCACCCCCCCACCCCAAAAACCGCCCCGAAAAACGGGGGUUUCCGGCAAAACCAAAAACCGACAGUUUCCCUACACCACCGUCAGGGGGGGGCGAGGCCCCCGAAGUACCCAAAUACCGGAGAAACUGCCCCAAAAAAUCUACCUGGCGGCGUCGCUGGCGGUGCUCCGAGGCGGUGCGCGCUUUGGGGUGCUUUUGGAGGGUUUUUUUGGGGGGGGGGGGGGUUUCCGGUGGCGCGGCGUCCCCGGCGCAAAACGGGCUCGGAAGGCGGGAUUUUGGGGUUCGCGCUCGUGUCCGCAGCGCAAAACGGGCUCGGAAAGCGGGAUUUUGGGUCCGGCGUGCUUCCCCGGCGCUAAACGGGCUCAGAAAGCGGGAUUUUGGGUCAGGCACGCGUCGCCAGCGUCAAAUGGGUUGAGAAAAGGGGUUUUUGGGGUCCGGCACGCGUCCCCGGCGCUAAACGGGCUCAGAAAGCGGGAUUUUGGGGGCAGGCUCCCGACCCCGGCGCGGGAAUGGGCUCAGAAAGCGGAGUUUUGGGUCGGGCCGGCGCUGCGUGACCGCGCCGCGGGUACUUACUCCUCUCACUUGGUUUUUUUUCUGCCUUUCGUAUUU